UACGAAGGGGGCUAGCGUUGUUCGGAAUUACUGGGCGUAAAGGGCGCGUAGGCGGUACUUCAAGUCAGGCGUGAAAGCCCCGGGCUCAACCUGGGAACCGCGCUUGAGACUGGAGAACUUGAGUUCGGGAGAGGAUGGUGGAAUUCCCAGUGUAGAGGUGAAAUUCGUAGAUAUUGGGAAGAACACCGAUGGCGAAGGCAGCCAUCUGGACCGACACUGACGCUGAGGCGCGAAAGCGUGGGGAGCAAACAGG
rnacentral:rRNA from 1 species